rnacentral:hammerhead_ribozyme from 1 species
CCCUAGCUGAUGGGAUCCAAACAGAUCGAAACAGCUGUCCAGCAC